GCGAGCAGGGAUAGGACUCAGAGACAGGGGAGCUGUGAGAGAUGACCGUGAAACUGAGGAGUUUACCAGGUGGUUCUGUGGAGGAUCAGAAUGUGGCUCAGAAAGGAACAGUUGCUCGAGGUAUCUAAGGUGAGAUCAGGUCACGAGUGAUCAUCAGACAACCGCUUAAGUACUCAGUGGCGGAUUAGAAGAUCACAUCCAGUGUGACUGCAACACUCUGCCCUGACCACAACACCCAAGCAGAAGAUUUGCGACUCAAUUUGAUGAGAAGCCUCAUGCAUCCAGCACAAGCCGAGGGCUGAGUUUCCAUUACCAACCUGCACGUAACGAAAAACUGCAUGCCUUUCUGAGGCACUCUCACUUCUUCAGGCUUAAAUUGGAGCAGAGAGAGAUAA